rnacentral:sRNA from 1 species
AAAAUGCUAACCUCAUUUCUUCCUCUGCUAGAUCUCUUCUUAUCCUUUUGAACAUCCAAACUUUCUUCAGACAAAAUAUUGAAAUUUGGUGUAGAGGAUCGUGGAGUAGGAGACUUAUCCUUGAAAAU